AUUGUAAUAUUUUCAUGUUUUACAUACUAUUUUUAGGAAAUAUAAAUAUAAUGCACUUUCUAAUAAAU
rnacentral:tRNA from 1 species